rnacentral:rRNA from 1 species
GCCUAGCCCUAAAUCUUGAUGCCUACCCUACCUAAGCAUCCGCCCGAGAACUACGAGCACAAACGCUUAAAACUCUAAGGACUUGGCGGUGUCCCAAACCCACCUAGAGGAGCCUGUUCUAUAAUCGAUAAUCCACGAUACACCCAACCACCCCUCGCCAGCACAGCCUACAUACCGCCGUCGCCAGCUCACCUCGCCUGAGGGACCUACAGUGAGCACAAUAGCCGCAAAUCCCGCUAACAAGACAGGUCAAGGUAUAGCCUAUGGGGUGGAAGAAAUGGGCUACAUUUUCUAAGAUAGACUAGAUCAACGGAAAGAGGUGUGAAAUCACCUUUAGAAGGCGGAUUUAGCAGUAAAGUGAGAUAAUUAAGCCCCCUUUAAGCCGGCCCUGGGACACGU